CACACACACACACACACACAGGCACGCACGCACGCACACACACGAGGUGUCCCUCUGAGGGAGCAAGCAAGAACCCAAGGGGAAGGAAAGAAAUUUUGGAAAGCCUUGACCGUGGACAUGGGAGUGGGGGCUGGGACAGGGGACACAGGGUCUUCAAGUCUGCGUGGUGGAAUUGAAUAAUUCCAGAGUAGAGGGGUAACAGCUGCAAUAUGUUGAGAAAUUCCUCCAAUGUGGUACAUUUGAACAAACCAGAUCCUGCUAAUUAAGAGCUCAAAUUUGCAUUGCAUAUCAUAGUGCGAUUUAGAACUGGUAAUGGCUAACAAAGUGAGUUGGCAUUUUAUUUUAAAUUCGAAGAAUUCAGGAAGCUACCAUGGAUUUUAUCAAGGUGGAAAAUUACAUGCUGAGGUGCUUCAACCUUAAUCUUUAAGAAGAAAAACUGCCAAGUGAAUUUUCAAAACUUAGCUGAUUUGAUGAAUAUUUCUAAAAAGGAAGAUCUGGGGGACAGAGAUCUUUUUUAUUUCAUUUCAUAUUACAUCAUCUGAGUCUCACUGGCUGGCCUGGAAAUUGUUAUGUAGACCAAGCUGACCUUCAAUUUACCGGACUCCUCCUGUCUCACAUUUGACAGUGAGAGAUUUGCAUCACCUUGAUUGCAACUUUUCUCACCCAGCCCUUCUCCAGUUUGCUAGGUCACUAAUUGAAGCCCUGAAGUGCACCAAGGACCCUUGAAGGCAAUGCUCUCCUAUGAUCUUCCAUUUCAGCCUCUGCUAUCUUCUCCCUUAAUUUCAAAAUUUUGGAGAUUCCCCAAGCUUGGCCUAAUGUUUUGCUGUGUUUCUGCAUCUGGUUUCAUCACUUGUUGGAUGGAGCCUCUUUGGUGACAAUUGGGCUUGGCAACAAUCUCUGAGUAUAGCAGAAAACCAUUAUGCGUCAUCUCAUUGAUAUGUCUCCCACCAGUUAUGUUUGCUUCUAUUCUAGGUCUCUGAGUCAUUCAGCCUGUGGUCCUUGAACUCCAUCCUGGCAGUGUCAAGGAUCAGGUUACUCUACUGGCAUGGAUUUUAGGAUAGAUCAGUCAUUAGGUGACUACUCCCUCAAACUCUAGGCAACCCUUAACCCAGUACAUCCCACAGGCAGCACAGACUGUAGAUUGAAGUCCGUACAGUUGGGGUGGUUUUCCACUCCCUCCACUUAAGUCUUGCCUGGGUACAGGAGAUGGUCAAUUCAGGCUAUGUAUUCACUAUUACUAGGAGUCUUAGCUCAGGUCAUUCUUGUAGAUUCCUGGGAGAAUUCCAUGUGCCAGGCUUUUACCUGACCCCCAAAAUGUCCAGUUUCCAGUAGUCUCUUUCAGUACUCUCUCCCUGACCCUCACCAACUUUAUCAUUCAUGUUCAUAUUGCCAUCCCAACAGCAGUCCACUCACAAUCUCUCUUCUAUUUUCCCUUCCCAGGGAGAUUUAAAUAUCCCACAUAGGUCCUCCUUGUUAUCUUGUCUCUCUAGGUCUAUGCACUGUAGCGUAGUAUUAUUUAUUUUACAAAUAAUAUCUGCUUAUUUGUGAAUAAAUGCCAUGUUUGUCUUCCUGGGUUUGGGUUACCUCACUCAGCAUGAUUUUUUUUCCUAAUUGUAUCCAUUUGCCUUCAAAUUCCAUCAAGUGUACAUUGUUAUGGAAAAUGAAAUAUUUAAAAGGAGUUAAUGACGUUACUUGUUGGUGUUUUAAUGGCUUUAUUUCAGUGUAUUGUUAAGUUUGACAUGAUCCUUAGAAUAGUUGCUUACCAAAUUUUUAUAUAUUCAAACAAUUUAAGGAAUAUUCAAAGGUUGUAACAUUGGUUUUUGAGUAUAUUUUCCCUACAUUUUACUUAAAGUAACAAGUUCCUUUGUUGAUAGAUCCAAAGACAGAGGCAUAAUUAUUUUUUCCAUAAAAUAAGAGCACACAUUCUUUCUUCAUAGACAGAUGACAAAUUUAUUAAAUGAAAAGUAUGUUGACCUAAUAAUCUUAAUUUCUUGUUGUCUAUUAUUAGCUUCAGCUGUAUGUAUGUAUAUUGGACAUAUUUCAUUUAGAUGGAUGUGUUAGAGUUUAAACCCUUUGUCCUUCCCUAGUAGCCAGAUACACUGGAUGUAUCAUUACAUUAUCAUUUUUAACACUGUGCUGCCAGCACUUCUGGCAGUGUAGAAAGAUUCAACAAAUCGAUAACACUGUGAACAGGUCUCCAGUCAUCCUGCAGUGUGUUAUGAACUUUUUCAAAAACAAAUCAGCAGGCAAGCCAGAGGAUUUAAAAAUUGAACAAAGAAAAUAAAAUAUGAUAUUAAACCAGAGGAGAAACCUUAGAAAACACUUUAAAACACUAAAGUCUUCAGAAUUAGGAGUUAAUUUUUUGCAUUCCUUCAUGACUUCAUUCAUUUAAAGUCUUAUAUUGAGGAUUCACAUUGAAGUAACAUUUACAACAUAGUGUGAUGAGUUUAAUUAUAGCUGGAUAGGGAUUACUGCAAACAUGGGAAUUAGUGGGACUUUAUAUAUAUUGAUAUAUCAGGAAAAACUCCUAGCAAUUUAACAUUGCUAUACCAAAAUAUCCCACCCAGUAUGAUUAAUAAGCAUCAAAAAUCACAAUUCUAGAGGCUGGUAUGUCCAAGAUCAAGGUGCAAGCAGAUGAUCUCUCUCUCUCUC